rnacentral:misc_RNA from 1 species
GUAGGUGAACCUGCGGAAGGAUCAUUACUAGAGAGGACCGGGUCAGGACUGCGUCAGCAGUCGUGAGACGGUCCGAGCGAGCGAAGCGUAGUGAGUGGAGUGAGUGAAGUGAGGCUAUGCCGAACGAUGCGAACGAAGCGAACGAAGUGGAGCAGCGUGGUGAUGUACUGGUAUGUGACUUGUACAUUGUCGCCGGACCUGCCUUCGCAAGGAGGUAGACAUGAUACAAAUCUUGAAUUAUACUACAUAACAGAAAUGACUUUUAACAACGGAUCUCUGGGCUCCC